rnacentral:rRNA from 1 species
GAUGAACGCUGGCGGCGUGCCUAAUACAUGCAAGUCGAGCGAACGGACGAGAAGCUUGCUUCUCUGAUGUUAGCGGCGGACGGGUGAGUAACACGUGGAUAACCUACCUAUAAGACUGGGAUAACUUCGGGAAACCGGAGCUAAUACCGGAUAAUAUUUUGAACCGCAUGGUUCAAAAGUGAAAGACGGUCUUGCUGUCACUUAUAGAUGGAUCCGCGCUGCAUUAGCUAGUUGGUAAGGUAACGGCUUACCAAGGCAACGAUGCAUAGCCGACCUGAGAGGGUGAUCGGCCACACGGGAACUGAGACACGGUCCAGACUCCUACGGGAGGCAGCAGUAGGGAAUCUUCCGCAAUGGGCGAAAGCCUGACGGAGCAACGCCGCGUGAGUGAUGAAGGUCUUCGGAUCGUAAAACUCUGUUAUUAGGGAAGAACAUAUGUGUAAGUAACUGUGCACAUCUUGACGGUACAUAAUCAGAAAGCCACGGCUAACUACGUG